CUUAAUGUGUCUACUUAAAAUGUUAUGUUGAUCAAAAUUGCAAAAUCUCAAAAGAAAUACAUGUGAUAAUGCAAAACAUUAUAGGUCUCUUUGGGCCAAAUGCAUUGAAAUGUGAAAAAGUCCUACUUCAAGUGCCCAUAACUUCUUCAUUAAAAAUCCAAAUGAUGCUAAAUAUAAGUCCAAAUUGAUUUUCUUGAAAAGAUCUACAACUUUCUAGUUGAAGAUGGUAUCAUUUGGAGCUUGCAUCAGUGAAACAGAAGGGCUUGAACAUUGGCGAAAUU
rnacentral:lncRNA from 1 species